GAGCACGUAGGUGGGUUUGUAAGUCAGAUGUGAAAGCCUUCUGUUCAACGGAAGAAUUGCAUCUGAAACUGCGAGUCUUGAGCGUAGGAGGGGAGAAUGGAACUUCUGGUGGAGCGGUGAAAUGCGUAGAUAUCAGAAGGAACGCCGGCGGCGAAAGCGAUUCUCUGGCCUAUUACUGACACUCAGUGUGCGAAAGCUAGGGGAGCAAACGGGAUUAGAUACCCCGGUAGUCCUAGCUGUAAACGAUGGGCACUAAGUAGAGGGAAUUACCGAUGUUCUCUCUGCCGUAGCUAACGCAUUAAGUGCCCCGCCUGGGGAGUACGGCCGCAAGGCUAAAACUCAAAAGAAUUGACGGGGGCUCGCACAAGCGGUGGAGCAUGUGGCUUAAUUCGAUGCAACGCGAAAAACCUUACCGGGGCUUGACAUGGUAGAAGUAGGAACCCGAAAGGGUAACGAACGGUAUCCAGUCCGUAGCUAUUACAGGUGUUGCAUGGCUGUCGUCAGCUCGUGUCGUGAGACGUUGGGUUAAGUCCCCUAACGAGCAAAACCCCUGUUUUUAGUUGCCAGCGGGUUAUGCCGGGCACUCUAGAAAGACUGCCGUCGUCAAGACGGAGGAAGGUGGGGAUGACGUCAAGUCAUCAUGGCCCUUAUGCCCCGGGCUGCACACGUGCUACAAUGGUCGGUACAAACGGAAGCGAAGCCGAGAGGUGAAGCGAAUCC
rnacentral:rRNA from 1 species